rnacentral:rRNA from 1 species
GACGAACGCUGGCGGCGUGCUUAACACAUGCAAGUCGAACGGAAGGGCCCUGCUUUUGUGGGGUGCUCGAUUGGCGAACGGGUGAGUAUCACGUGUGUAACCUGCCCUUGUCUUUCGGAUAUCUUCAGGAAACUGGGGCUCUUAUCGGAUAGGAGCUCUUGCUGCGUGGUGUGGGAUGGUAAGUUUCGGCGGUUGGGGAUGGACUCGCGGCUUAUCCGCUUCUUGGUGGGGUAGUCGCUUACCAAGGUUUUGACGGGUAGCCGGCAUGAGAGAGUGACCGGCGACAUUGGGACUGAGAUACGGCGCAGAAGCCUACGGGACGCAGCAGUGGGGAGUAUGGCGCAGUGGGGGGAAGCCUGAGGCGGCAAUGCCGCGAGCGGGAUAACGGCCUACGGGUGGUAAACCGCUGUCGCAUGUGACGAAGCGAGCGUGACGGUAAUGGAUCAGAAAGCACCGGCUAACUACGUG